ACCUACGGGGGGCAGCAGUAGGGAAUUUUCGUCAAUGGGCGCAAGCCUGAACGAGCAAUGCCGCGUGAACGAGGAAGGUCUUCGGAUCGUAAAGUUCUGUUGAAGGGGAAAAAGAGCGGAGAGAGGAAAUGGUCUCCGAUUGAUAUUACCCGUCGAGGAAGUCACGGCUAACUACGUGCCAGCAGCCGCGGUAAUACGUAGGUGGCGAGCGUUAUCCGGAAUGAUUGGGCGUAAAGGGUGCGUAGGCGGCCUGCUAAGUCUGGAGUGAAAGGUACCGGCUCAACCGGUACAGGCUCUGGAAACUG
rnacentral:rRNA from 1 species